ensembl:snRNA U4 U4 spliceosomal RNA
AACUUUGUGCAGCGGCAGUAUCAUAGCCAAUGAGUUUAUCCGAGGCAUGAUUAUUGCUAAAGUGAAUGAAUGAAUUCCACCUCCUUAGUUACAGUUAUUAAUUCAAGAAUGACCCAAUUCAUACUAAAACUUAACUUCAGAGACUCUGUUUAGAAUUAUUAGAAAUUCGUGACAGAG